GAUGAACGCUGGCGGCGUGCUUAACACAUGCAAGUCGAACGAAGCAUUUAGGACAGAUUACUUCGGUUUGAAGUUCUUUAUGACUGAGUGGCGGACGGGUGAGUAACGCGUGGGUAACCUGCCUUGUACUGGGGGGUAGCAGCUGGAAACGGCUGGUAAUACCGCAUAAGCGCACAAUGUUGCAUGACAUGGUGUGAAAAACUCCGGUGGUAUAAGAUGGACCCGCGUCUGAUUAGCUAGUUGGUGAGAUAACAGCCCACCAAGGCGACGAUCAGUAGCCGACCUGAGAGGGUGACCGGCCACAUUGGGACUGAGACACGGCCCAGACUCCUACGGGAGGCAGCAGUGGGGAAUAUUGCACAAUGGAGGAAACUCUGAUGCAGCGACGCCGCGUGAGUGAAGAAGUAAUUCGUUAUGUAAAGCUCUAUCAGCAGGGAAGAUAGUGACGGUACCUGACGAAGAAGCUCCGGCUAAAUACGUG
rnacentral:rRNA from 1 species